AUGCAGUUAGACAAUGGUGAUAUCAUAUGCUUUCAUAAAGCUUCUGCAAUGGGUAACGGGUAACGGGAGAAAUUAAAUAUACUGAUAAAGCUUCAUUGGUUAUAAGAUUGGUCAAAACUUUCUCGAUGUUUGCAUAGGUUUGAACGGGUUAGCACGAAACUGAGGCAUGAGAUUCUGGUGAUUUGUUGGAUUUCAGUAUCUUUUGAGCUUAACAAAUUUGACUUAGUUCUGUUUUUGUGCAUUUAGAUGUCCAGUGUUAUUAGCUAUUAUGCUACAAUUUUUCUGUUGGAUACGUCGAGAAAAACUAUUUUUUAGCUUUUGCAAUGCAAGGAAAGUAUUUUGAUGAUGUUAGAUGUUACUUUUAGUACAAUAUAUGAUGUUUCUGCUUGGAAACUUAUAUUAACUAUGAAUAAGUUGACAGAAUGUUUUUAAAUAUUAGUUGGAAGGUUUUGUGGAAAGUUUGUAGAAACCUUGCUUGAAGAUGACGACGUCCUGAAGGAACCUUGCUUGGAAGCAUGUCCAAUUGCUUCACAGAAACAUAGGUGCCACUACUUACAACUUUUAAUCCAACCUUUCAGGUCACGAGGGACCGAGCCGUAAGAGAUUGGGUGCUCGAUGAAACUACCGAUAACAUGCAGAGGAACUUUGGAUUGGGAUAUUUGGGGAUCUCGCGACCGAGUCUUGGCUAGAAAAUCACAAACAUUCUCUCUUCAGUUUUUCAACAUUGGUCCGGUUUAGUUGGGGAUCUUGCAGCACUUAUUUUAAAAAUGGCGCUGAAGUUUUAUGCAUCAUGAAACACGGUGUGACAAGUGUGCAAGAGAAUUUUGGUCAUCCAUAGAUGACUUUUAGUUGAACACACCUAAGAGUCCCUAUCAUAUUGCUUUUGUUCUUGGUCCAAAAUUGGAAUCUGACGAGGAAAUCUUUGUUAUUUCAUCCAAAUGCAUUAACACAGAUUUUGAAUCUGACACGAGGGAUAAUGAAACGCAGAAGUUGUAAGCAGUUUACUUUA